rnacentral:rRNA from 1 species
GUGGCAGACGGGUGAGUAACAUGUGGGUAUCUGCCCUUUGGUUCGGAACAACACGGGGAAACCUGUGCUAAUACCGGAUAAGUCCUUACGGAGAAAGUUUUAAUGCCAAAAGAUGAGCCCGCAUUUGAUUAGCUAGUUGGUAAGGUAAUGGCUUACCAAGGCAACGAUCAAUAGCUGUUCUUAGAGGAAGACCAGCCACAUUGGGACUGAGACACGGCCCAAACUCC